CGUAGGAGGCGAGCGUUAUCCGGAUUCACUGGGCGUAAAGCGCGUGCAGGUGGCGCGGUAAGUUGGGCGUGAAAUCUCCCGGCUCAACUGGGAGAGGUCGUCCAAUACUACCGUGCUAGAGAGCAGAAGAGGAAGAUGGAAUUCCCGGUGUAGUGGUGAAAUGCGUAGAUAUCGGGAGGAACACCAGUGGCGAAGGCGAUCUUCUGGUCUGUUUCUGACACUCAGACGCGACAGCUAGGGUAGUAAACGGGAUUAGAGACCCCGGUAAUCCUAGCCGUAAACGAUGUGAACUUGGCGUUGGUGGGUUAAACUCCAUCAGUGCCGCAGCAAACGCGAUAAGUUCACCGCCUGGGGACUACGGCCGCAAGGUUA
rnacentral:rRNA from 1 species